CAGUCGCCGCGGGAAUACGUAGGUCCCGAGCGUUGUCCGGAUUUAUUGGGCGUAAAGCGAGCGCAGGCGGUUAGAUAAGUCUGAAGUUAAAGGCUGUGGCUUAACCAUAGUACGCUUUGGAAACUGUUUAACUUGAGUGCAAGAGGGGAGAGUGGAAUUCCAUGUGUAGCGGUGAAAUGCGUAGAUAUAUGGAGGAACACCGGUGGCGAAAGCGGCUCUCUGGCUUGUAACUGACGCUGAGGCUCGAAAGCGUGGGGAGCAAACAGGAUUAGAUACCCGUGUAGUCCCUGUCUCUUAUACC
rnacentral:rRNA from 1 species